rnacentral:misc_RNA from 1 species
AACUGAUACUACCUGCGGGAACCUGCGGAGGGAUCAUUAACGAGUUUUGAAGUGGGAUUGAUGCUGGCCUUCCGAGGCAUGUGCUCGUCCUCGCUCAUCCACUCACAACACCUGUGCACUGUUGAGGUGUGGCCCCCCUUCAAUGGAGCCGUUCCCCCCUAGGGGGUCGAGCCGGGGUCAGGCCUUCUUCGUCACAAACAACUUGUAACGUCUAUUCGGAAUGUAAUGCUUCAUGUUAAU